GGGUUGUGAGGUUAAGCGACUAAGCGUACACGGUGGAUGCCCUGGCAGUCAGAGGCGAUGAAGGACGUGCUAAUCUGCGAUAAGCGUCGGUAAGGUGAUAUGAACCGUUAUAACCGGCGAUUUCCGAAUGGGGAAACCCAGUGUGUUUCGACACACUAUCAUUAACUGAAUCCAUAGGUUAAUGAGGCGAACCGGGGGAACUGAAACAUCUAAGUACCCCGAGGAAAAGAAAUCAACCGAGAUUCCCCCAGUAGCGGCGAGCGAACGGGGAGCAGCCCAGAGCCUGAAUCAGUGUGUGUGUUAGUGGAAGCGUCUGGAAAGGCGCGCGAUACAGGGUGACAGCCCCGUACACAAAAAUGCACAUGCUGUGAGCUCGAUGAGUAGGGCGGGACACGUGGUAUCCUGUCUGAAUAUGGGGGGACCAUCCUCCAAGGCUAAAUACUCCUGACUGACCGAUAGUGAACCAGUACCGUGAGGGAAAGGCGAAAAGAACCCCGGCGAGGGGAGUGAAAAAGAACCUGAAACCGUGUACGUACA
rnacentral:rRNA from 1 species